rnacentral:rRNA from 1 species
AACGAACGCUGGCGGCGUACCUAACACAUGCAAGUCGAACGGGGAAAGCUUUCGGGUGAGUACUAGUGGCGCACGGGUGAGGAACGCGUGGAUAAUCUGCCUUAGAGUGGGGGAUAACUAGUCGAAAGAUUAGCUAAUACCGCAUAAGACCACAGGAGCUGCGGCUCAAGGGGUCAAAGGUUUUUCGCUCUAAGAUGAGUCCGCGUAAGAUUAGCUAGUUGGUGAGGUAACGGCUCACCAAGGCGACGAUCUUUAACUGGUCUGAGAGGAUGAUCAGUCACACUGGAACUGAGACACGGUCCAGACUCCUACGGGAGGCAGCAGCAGGGAAUAUUGCACAAUGGAGGAAACUCUGAUGCAGCGACGCCGCGUGAGUGAUGAAGGCCUUCGGGUCGUAAAGCUCUGUCGCAGGGGAAUAACACAAUGAAGGUACCCUGUAAGAAAGGAUCGGCUAACUUCGUGCCAGCAGCCGCCGUAACAC